GAUCAUGGCUCAGGACGAACGCUGGCGGCGCGCUUAAUACAUGCAAGUCGAACGAGAAGCCAGAGCUUGCUCUGGUGGAAAGUGGCGAACGGGUGAGUAACACGUGAGAAACCUGCCCCAAAGAUUGGGAUAAGCCUUGGAAACGAGGUCUAAUACCAAAUACCUUCUUUUAACACAUGUUAAAAGAAGAAAUGCUCCGGCGCUUUGGGAUGGUCUCGCGAUCUAUCAGCUUGUUGGUGAGGUAACGGCUCACCAAGGCAUCGACGGAUAGCUGGUCUGAGAGGAUGUCCAGCCACAUUGGAACUGAGACACGGUCCAAACUCCUACGGGAGGCAGCAGUAGGGGAAUCUUGCACAAUGAGGGAAACCUUGAUGCAGCGACGCCGCGUGCGGGACGAAGGCCCUAGGGUUGUAAACCGCUUUCAGUAGGGACGAAAGUGACGGUACCUACAGAAGAAGCCCCGGCCAACUAUGUG
rnacentral:rRNA from 1 species